GCCCGCCACCCGCCCAGAACCGUGUUUUCCUUCCCAAAAAAGAGGAGGAGAAGGGGAGGGGGGGGGGCAUAACAAGGGAAAGCGACGAGGAACUACCGUCAGCGCACAGGGACUACCCAGGCGACGCUGAAGGCAGCCGAGCGUCCUGGAAGGGAACGGACCCAAAAAGAAGGGGGAAGUCAGCAGGACGAGAGAGACACAUGGAUGAUGAUGAUGAGGAUGAAGAUGAGGAUGGUGAUGGGGAUCCCGAUGCUCCUCCUGCUCCCGCGGCUCCUCUCCUCCUCACCUCCGCCUCCUCCACCUCCGCCUCGCAUCGCUGGCCUCAGCCGCCGCCGACCAGCACAGUGCGACACACAGACACAGCGACCGACCGCCCUGCUCCUCCUCCCCUGCCGCGGCCCCACACUGC